AGGGAAACGGUUGAAAAAGAGUCUGUUAUGGUUAUGCCAAAUUUUGGAGUCCAACUUGAAACUCACUAUAGGAGGUAACUUUUUCCUUCAUGGAAAAGUCAUCUGUCGGUUUGUGCCUGUCGAUAAACUUCUAAAACCAGUUCUCCUUGAAUGCGUG